UUACGGCCAUAACAGGUUGCAACACAAGUUCCCGUACGAUAACCGAAGUUAAGCAACGUCGAUCCUGAUCAGUACCUAGAUGGGUGACCGCUUGACAAUAUCAGGUGCUGUAAG